UACGUAGGGGGCUAGCGUUGUCCGGAAUCAUUGGGCGUAAAGAGCGUGUAGGCGGCCCGGUAAGUCCGCUGUGAAAGUCGGGGGCUCAACCCUCGAAUGCCGGUGGAUACUGUCGGGCUAGAGUGCGGAAGAGGCGAGUGGAAUUCCUGGUGUAGCGGUGAAAUGCGCAGAUAUCAGGAAGAACACCCGUGGCGAAGGCGGCUCUCUGGGACGGUACUGACGCUGAGACGCGAAAGCGUGGGGAGCGAACAGG
rnacentral:rRNA from 1 species